AACUGAUUUGCUUGUUCUUUAUUAUGAGGCUAGGUAGUUGGUUAGUUUAUUUAAGAUUAGGGGGUUUAAUUAUUAUAAUUUUGUGGUGAUAAGGCUAGCUUAUAUAAUAAAUUUAUUUUUUAAACAAGAAUUAGAGACUCUUUUAUAUAUAAAUAAAUUUUUGUGGUCUCAGUAUUAACUGAAAGAAAUUGGCAGCCAAUUAUAUCCUUCUAGGGGAGUGUGUGGUAUAAUGGAUGUUCCACUAAGGAAUUUACCUCUUAUUUUUGUUAGUGUAUAUCCGGUUUAGUUACAGAAAACAUAUGUUUUCUGUAAAAUUUUAAAUAUUUAAUCCAGGUCAAUAUGCUGCUUGUAAAGGGGUUUCCCAUGCGCUACAUUAUAAAAUAGUUGAUGUAGUUUGACUUAUUUAGGACUUAGUAGUAUUAUAAAAUAUAGUGUUUAUGAGAAUUAGGUUUAAUUGGGGUACACAUCGCCCGUCAUCUUCGGUAUUAGCU
rnacentral:rRNA from 1 species